rnacentral:tRNA from 1 species
GACUUUAUAUUCAUUUUUUAAUGAUUUUAGACUGCAAUUCUGAAGGAGUAAUUUAUAUUACUAAAGUUU